UACGUAGGGUGCAAGCGUUAAUCGGAAUUACUGGGCGUAAAGCGUGCGCAGGCGGUUGUGCAAGACCGAUGUGAAAUCCCCGGGCUUAACCUGGGAAUGGCAUUGGUGACUGCACGGCUAGAGUGUGUCAGAGGGGGGUAGAAUUCCACGUGUAGCAGUGAAAUGCGUAGAGAUGUGGAGGAAUACCGAUGGCGAAGGCGGCAUCCUGGACCGGCAUUGACGCUGAGGCGCGAAAGCCAGGGGAGCAAACGGG
rnacentral:rRNA from 1 species